rnacentral:rRNA from 1 species
UACGGGGGGAGCAAGCGUUGUUCGGAUUUACUGGGCGUAAAGGGCGCGUAGGCGGUCGUGACAAGUCACUUGUGAAAUCUCCGGGCUUAACUCGGAACGGUCAAGUGAUACUGUCGGACUAGAGUACAGAAGGGGCAACUGGAAUUCUCGGGUGUAGCGGUGAAAUGCGUAGAUAUCGAGAGGAACACCUGCGGCGAAGGCGGGUUGCUGGGCUGAUACUGACGCUGAGGCGCGAAGCCAGGGGAGCGAACGGG